GGCGAUGAUGACUUUCUCUGUGUCUGGAUCUUGCUGAGUUAGUUUUUCUAAAAGCCAGAUUUUGAAACAAGAGCACAUUUGGUCCUGGAGUGUUUCUGCCGACAGCACAACCGUGAGGCCCCAGGCACCCGCUUUGCAGGUUCUGGGCAUGAAGGUCCCAGGAGGAGAGCUGGGAGCUGCCCCACGUACACAGCUGGCUGGAAGCCAGGUCGUCUGGGUUGUCAUCGCUGACACAGCACAAUCCAAAGCAGGGUGUGUGUUUGUUUAUAGGGGCUGCUUUCUCUUCCUUCACACAGACUCUGUGAACACCGGCACUUUCUCAGGACGCACCCUUCCUCGGUCAUGGGUGUCUGGGUGGGCUAUCCCCUCGGCUGCACACUCCCAGAGGGCUUGAUCUUGAAUACUGUUCUGUUCAGCCCUUGCUGCUAUGUCAUGGGCUUCUUACACUAUUGUCCCUUGUCUAUCAUCCUACAGAUUUGGGGAUUUGCUUUACCUGGAAUUAAAUUGUUAUUUAGAUUUUUCUCCACAACCUCUGUCACAAGCCAAUAAUGACUGAUUCAAGUGUGAAAACACUAGGGAAAAAACAGAUUCUUAUAACUCCUUCUAUCCAUGUGCAUCACACAAUGGGGUGCUGCCUGUCUAGGCCCCCAUUUCAGAAAGCAAGUCCCCUAUCUGUCCCCCACUCUCAGUGAGGCUGCUGUCUCUCAUGCUCCUCAGAGUCCCAGAAUAGACCCACAACCACUUUCCCCUCUUGGUGCUUGAUUACUACAGAAUCGCCAGGGGAGUGUAGAAAAUGCGACCAGAAGAAGGUGUAGAGGAGCCCGGAGUCCCAACGGCCACGCAUCUCCCAACCUGGAGCUCCCAGCAUGUCUUCUGCAUACACAACUUCAUCCAGACCCAUUGCACAGGGACCAGCCUGCAUUCUCCACCUGUGUCAGAUGUUGUCUCUGUCCAUUCAGACUGCUAUGACAAAAUGCCAUAACUUGAGUGGGUGGCUUAUAAACAACAGAAGUUUAUUCCUCACAGUUUUGGAAGCUGAAAGUUCAAGAUCAAAGUGCCAGCAGAUCCAGGGUCUGAGAAGGGCCCACUUCCUGGUUCACAGACAGACAUCUUUUUGUGUCCCCACACAGAAGAAAAGAGUUUCGCUCUUGUUACCCAGGCUGGAGUGCAACGGCUCGAUCUUGGCUCACAGCAACCAACCUCCGCCUCCUGGGUUCAGGCAAUUCUCCUGCCUCAGCCUCCUGAGUAGCUGGGAUUACAGGCACGCGCCACCAUGCCCAGCUAAUUUUUUGUAUUUUUAGUAGAGACAGGGUUUCACCAUGUUGACCAGGAUGGUCUCGAUCUCUUGACCUCGUGAUCCACCUGCCUCGGCCUCCCAAAGUCCUGGGAUUACAGGCUUGAGCCACCGUCAGAUAUGUCUUUAUUAGCAGUGUGAAAACAAACCAAUACACUGGGCUUUCCCCUUCCCAGUAGUGCCUCUGUGGGCAAAGUUGGGGUAUCUGAGUCUUUUUAAGGUUCUUUCAAUGAGGCCACUGAGGGUGUUUCUCCAAUCCCAUUUAGGAAGUCAUUGCACUCAUUUCAAUUGAUCACAGCUAUUCAGGUUUUCAUAUCUCUAUAAAUAUCAGUGUAUUUAUUUUACCUUUUUUCAUAUGAGUCACCUGAAUGAGCACAGAAGAGGACAGAUCACACAAGUAUGACAACGGAGAGGGAGCUG
rnacentral:lncRNA from 13 species